rnacentral:lncRNA from 1 species
GGUAUUAAAGGAAAAAUGAUCAAUCUACACUGAAGGCUGUAACAAAGAUGUUACCAUCAUAUCACAUCGCCUUCAUUCUUCUAAGCAUAAACUGCAAAUCUACCGUAUCUAUAUGUAGUCCAGGAUGUCAAUGUACUAGCUGGCCCGGUUAUUGUAACGGCUGUAAUGAAGGCUAUUAUAUGACUAAUAAGAGGAUAUGUGAAAGGUGUUUAGCAAAUUGUUUAACAUGUUCAUCAUAUCUAUUUUGCACGAGUUGCAACCAAGGAUUC